rnacentral:misc_RNA from 1 species
UCGCAGUUCCUGCCCGAGGGCGUGCCCCUGUUCAUCGGCGAUGUCGCGGACGAGAACCUGGUCGAAGGCGUGAUCGCCGCGCACAAUGUCAGCUCGAUCAUUCAUUUCGCAGGUUCAGUGGUGGUGCCGGACUCGCUGCUACCGCAACAACACGAUGACGACGCGCAAUCUUCUGAACGCGGCGGUCAGGUGCAACAUCA